GUGCCAGCAGCCGCGGUAAUACAGAGGGUGCAAGCGUUGUUCGGAAUUACUGGGCGUAAAGCGCGUGUAGGCGGUCCUUCAAGUCGGACGUGAAAUCCCUUGGCUUAACCAAGGAACUGCGUUCGAAACUGCUGGACUAGAGUAUCGGAGGGGAUGGUGGAAUUCCUGGUGUAGAGGUGAAAUUCGUAGAUAUCAGGAGGAACACCUGUGGCGAAGGCGACCAUCUGGAAGAUUACUGACGCUGAGACGCGAAAGCGUGGGGAGCAAACAGGAUUAGAAACCCCCGUAGUCC
rnacentral:rRNA from 1 species